rnacentral:rRNA from 1 species
AUGAACGCUGGCGGCGUGCCUAAUACAUGCCAGUCGAGCGCACGGACGAGAAGCUUGCUUCUCUGAUGUUAGCGGCGGACGGGUGAGUAACACGUGGAUAACCUACCUAUAAGACUGGGAUAACUUCGGGAAACCGGAGCUAAUACCGGAUAAUAUUUUGAACCGCAUGGUUCAAAAGUGAAAGACGGUCUUGCUGUCACUUAUAGAUGGAUCCGCGCUGCAUUAGCUAGUUGGUAAGGUAACGGCUUACCAAGGCAACGAUGCAUAGCCGACCUGAGAGGGUGAUCGGCCACACUGGAACUGAGACACGGUCCAGACUCCUACGGGAGGCAGCAGUAGGGAAUCUUCCGCAAUGGGCGAAAGCCUGACGGAGCAACGCCGCGUGAGUGAUGAAGGUCUUCGGAUCGUAAAACUCUGUUAUUAGGGAAGAACAUAUGUGUAAGUAACUGUGCACAUCUUGACGGUACCUAAUCAGAAAGCCACGGCUAACUACGUG